rnacentral:rRNA from 1 species
GAUGAACGCUGGCGGCGUGCUUAACACAUGCAAGUCGAACGAGAAGUGGAGACGGAAACCUUCGGGCGGAAGACUUUACUUCGAGUGGCGGACGGGUGAGUAACGCGUGGGUAACCUGCCUCAUACAGGGGGAUAACAGUUGGAAACGACUGUUAAUACCGCAUAAGACCACAGCACCGCAUGGUGCGGGGGUAAAAACUCCGGUGGUAUGAGAUGGACCCGCGUUCGAUUAGCCAGUUGGCGGGGUAACGGCCCACCAAAGCGACGAUCGAUAGCCGAUCUGAGAGGAUGACCGGCCACAUUGGGACUGAGACCCGGCCCAAACUCCUACGGGAGGCAGCAGUGGGGAAUAUUGCACAAUGGGGGAAACCCUGAUGCAGCGACGCCGCGUGAGUGAAGAAGUAUUUCGGUAUGUAGAGCUCUAUCAGCAGGGAAGAAAAUGACAGUACCUGAGUAAGAAGCCCCGGCUAACUACGUG